AGUUAGUGCUGGGAAACAGUGCUAAGAAGGAUACAGUGGCUAGAAGUCGUCCUGUCGUCCUGCCUCACAGUAACAUCGUUACCGAAUUCUCAGCAGGUGAACCAAAUGAAAUGGUCAACUGAAAGCCAACCAGGCAAAAAAUCACCAUGUACCAACCUAUCCAAACUUAUCCAUGGAUGAAUCUAUCCAGAAGACGGGAGUUCCGAUGCUUGUCUUGCUCUGAAUGUCUGCUUGUCACCUGCUUAGGGUUAUCGACUGUGAUUCUGGGACUCAUUGUUGUUCUACAGGACCCCUCUGACUCUGUGGUUUUCUCUACUGGAUUAACAAUGAUAGCCAUAGGUGCUUUUUUUGUUGUCCUCACUGGAGUGACAGCCCUGUGUACGGUUACAGUCGACGAGAACUUGCAGAAAACCACGAGGCUAAGACUAGGAGUGAUACGAAAAAGCGGAAGUCUCCAAGGAACUACAGAGCCUUCCAUGACUCACUCAAUAAUCGCUAGCACCUCGCUGUAGUUGUACAUUGAACCCUGGCAUCUUCGUCUUUGGAACUAAGUCUCCUGAGCAUUGUUUUUAAAUAGAAAUAAAAUCUGGCUUUUAAAAAAA
rnacentral:lncRNA from 1 species